rnacentral:rRNA from 1 species
ACUCCUACGGGAGGCAGCAGCUAAGAAUAUUCCGCAAUGGACGAAAGUCUGACGGAGCGACGCCGCGUGGAUGACGAAGGCCGAAAGGUUGUAAAAUCCUUUUGCUGGGGAAGAAUAAGCAUGGGAGGGAAUGCCCGUGUGAUGACAUGAACCGGCGAAUAAGCCCCGGCUAACUACGUGCCAGCAGCCGCGGUAACACGUAGGGGGCGAGCGUUGUUCGGAAUUACUGGGCGUAAAGGGCAUGUAGGCGGCCUUGUAAGCCUGGCGUGAAAUUCCACGGCUCAACCGUGGGAAUGCGUCGGGAACUGCGAGGCUUGAGUGACGGAGAGGGAGCUAGAAUUCCUGGUGUAGGGGUGAAAUCUGUAGAUAUCAGGAAGAAUACCAAUGGCGAAGGCAAGCUCCUGGCCGAUGACUGACGCUGAGGUGCGAAAGUGUGGGGAUCAAACAGGAUUAGAUACCCUGGUAGUCCACACGGUAAACGAUGUGCACUAGGUGCUGGGGCGGAUGCUUCAGUGCCGGAGCUAACGCGGUAAGUGCACCGCCUGGGGAGUAUGCUCGCAAGGGUGAAACUCAAAGGAAUUGACGGGG